GGGACGCUCUAGCCCCGCGUUUCUCGUUUUCUUCCUGCAGAGCUCAGUGGCAGGCUCGCUUCCGGUGACCUUCCUGAGCGGCGAGUGAUCGCACGGUGUGAGGUGGGUGACGUGCCCGGUGUGAGGUGCCUUCCAUUACCGGCCCUGGGUAGCAAGUGGUGCUGGGUGGAGGACAUACAGCUCGUUACCUGGGCCUUAACUCCUUAUUGCCUCUAACCCAUAACCCACAGGCUCCUCCAAUUAUAUAUGUGAUUAUUGUGUUUAUCUCAUUAUAUUAUUAUUAUUAUUAUAUUGUUUAUUAAUAUUAUAUUUAUUGUUUAUUAUUAUUAUACUGUUUAUUAUAUCUGCUCUUACUGUGGGCAUUGUUACAGGUCUCUAUAGGUCAAUAGCAUUUCAUUUCCUUACCCUUCAGGUUUGCCUUUCAGUUGACAAAAGAGUUACAAACUGUGGGUUAAAAUAACCAAAAUUUGGGGAAGAAAUCCCCUUCCUUCCCCGAAUGUUGGUUAUUUUAACCCACAGUUUGUAACUCCUCUGUCAAUUGAAAGGCAGACCUGAAGGGUAAGGAAAUGAAAUGCUAUUGACCUAUAGAGACCUGUAACAAUGCCCACAGUAAGAGCAGAUAUAAUAAACAGUAUAAUAAUAAUAUAAUGAGAUAAACACAAUAAUCACAUAGAUAUUAGAGGAGCCUGUGGGUUAUGGGUUAAAAAAAAAAAACACAAAAAACCCACAGUUGAAUGUGAUGUUUUCUAUUUACUGUACCUUGUGCAGUUUUGAUUCUCUUUAAAAUCAAAACUUUUGGGGGUUUAUUCCUGGGGCUGUGAAUUAAUAGUAAAUUCACACCAUUUACUAAUCAUACUAGUAAAUUGGAAAUUAAUUAGUGGAAUUUUAAGAUACAAUAGCUGAAUGAAAAAAGUUGAAUUCCAAAUUUUAAAAAAAUGACUAAAAUAAUGUCCAUCCUCUUGCAUUCAAUAUUUUUUAUUUUCCGAAGCGUUUUUUUUUUUUUUUAAUUAUUAUUAUUAUGGAGUUUGCCCAUAGACUUGCAGUAUCAUAAUCACUACAAUGUUCUGUUUUGUGUUGAAAGUGCUACUUUGAACAAAUGCUGGGUAUCUUUGAUGUCCUGAAGUAAUAUGACUGUUUAUGAAGGGAACACUCCAAGCGCCAUCAUCACUACAGUACGGUUUAGUUGUUAUGGUUCCAGGAGUGCCCUGGUGACCCUUUCCAGAGUAAUUAGUCAAGCCAUUUGCUAGUGGUUUGACUGCACUGUAGUGGUUAUGGUGCUUUGAGUGUUCCUUUAAAGAGCUGUGCAUUAAAACCCAGUUGUCAUAGAAAUACAGAAUAUUUGUUUUCAAAGAAUCUCUUUUCCUCUAUUUUAUGCAAAUUUGUGACUGAUAGUUGUUUUUUCACUUCUCCAGAAAUGGCAGGCAAGGCUUUUUCAGCAUGGUGGACCUUGAUGAGGCCGUAUUACACUAAAGCUUACCAAGAGAUGUGGGUUGGUGUUGGCAUCAUGACAGUCCUCUAUUAUAAGCUGUCAUAUGGAGGUAAGCAUGCUCUUAUUAAUACAAUUUAUCAGUUUUUAGUUGUUUUAAUAUUGCCAUUUAAUUUUGUUUGUG